rnacentral:snRNA from 1 species
GAAGGUGGGUGGAGAUUCGGCUGAUGUGGCUGGCUAGGUGGGUGUCCCCUUCCUCCCUUCCUCCCUCACUGCUCCAUGUGCAUCCCUCCUAAAGCUGUGCACUCGGUGGAAGAGGACAACCAUCCCCGAAGGAGGAGGACCGUUCUUUGGCCAAGGGUAUAUUGUGCUCCCCUGCUAGAACCUCCAAGCAAGCUCUCAAGAAGGUGGGUGGACAUGUCGAGGAAGGAUGGGAAAAAAAAUGAGGCAGGCUGAACUGGGGAUUUAAAAAACUCUGUAAGGU